GUGGUUGAAGUUUACUACACUUUUUGUCUUUUUGGCAACAAUUUCCCUGUCUGGGGCCCUCGAUGUAGCAUCGAAUAUUAUAAAUGGUAUUCCUAAGGAUCUGGCUAUACCCGAUAUAAUAGGUCCAUUCCGAAGGAUCGGCUUCAAUUUUUACUUUUUUGAACCCAAUAUUAAGCUUACUUGGUUUGGUGCCUUCGAAGCUUGUCGACGAAUGGAGGCUGACUUGCUCGGGUUUGAUAGGCAUGAAGAUUUAGAAUUUCUUUAUCAACACAUCAGUACAGACGAAAAGCUUAAUGGCAGUAAUUAUUGGACUUCUGGCACCGAUUUGCAAUAUGCGCAUAAACAUGUUUGGCUUUCGAAUGGAAAAAACGUGACUUCGAAAUUUUGGGCUAAAUUAGAGCCAAAUAAUCGAGAUAAUAACGAACACUGUGAUGAGCUGGAAUUGCGAGGACGGGACGGGAAAAUGGGUCUUAAUGACAAGCCGUGCUCCACAGAAAUUGGCUAUAUUUGCUAUAAGGCAUCGAGGCCGAAAACAGCUUCUUUUAUAAUAUUUUAGGUUAUUCAGACUAUUAAAAAUAUGUAUUAACAAUUGGUUAUUCCAAA